rnacentral:miRNA from 1 species
UGGAGAGCUGGCAGAGGACCCAGACAAGCCACCUGCCAAAGCAGUUUGGCUUCUUUGGACCCCUGGUCUUUUCUGGC